rnacentral:rRNA from 1 species
UACGAAGGGGGCUAGCGUUAAUCGGAAUUACUGGGCGUAAAGCGUGCGCAGGCGGUGAUGUAAGACAGGUGUGAAAUCCCCGGGCUUAACCUGGGAACUGCAUUUGUGACUGCAUCGCUGGAGUGCGGCAGAGGGGGAUGGAAUUCCGCGUGUAGCAGUGAAAUGCGUAGAUAUGCGGAGGAACACCGAUGGCGAAGGCAAUCCCCUGGGCCUGCACUGACGCUCAUGCACGAAAGCGUGGGAGCAAACAGG